CGAACGAACCUUCGGGUUAGUGGCGGACGGGUGAGUAACACGUGAGAAUCUGCCCUCAGGAGGGGGACAACAGCUGGAAACGGCUGCUAAUACCCCAUAUGCCGCGAGGUGAAAUGAAUUUCGCCUGAGGAUGAGCUCGCGUCUGAUUAGCUAGUUGGUGAGGUAAUGGCUCACCAAGGCAUCGAUCAGUAGCUGGUCUGAGAGGAUGAUCAGCCACACUGGGACUGAGACACGGCCCAGACUCCUACGGGAGGCAGCAGUGGGGAAUUUUCCGCAAUGGGCGAAAGCCUGACGGAGCAACGCCGCGUGAAGGAUGAAGGCCUCUGGGCUGUAAACCUCUUUUAUCAAGGAAGAAGAUCUGACGGUACUUGAUGAAUAAGCCACGGCUAAUUCCGUGCCAGCAGCCGCGGUAAUACGGGAGUGGCAAGCGUUAUCCGGAAUUAUUGGGCGUAAAGCGUCCGCAGGCGGUCCAGAAAGUCUGCUGUUAAAAAGUGGAGCUUAACUCCAUCAUGGCAGUGGAAACUUCUGGACUAGAGUGUGGUAGGGGCAGAGGGAAUUCCCGGUGUAGCGGUGAAAUGCGUAGAUAUCGGGAAGAACACCAGUGGCGAAGGCGCUCUGCUGGGCCAUCACUGACGCUCAUGGACGAAAGCCAGGGGAGCGAAAGGGAUUAGAUACCCCUGUAGUCCUGGCCGUAAACGGUGAACACUAGGUGUCGGGGGAAUCGACCCCCUCGGUGUCGUAGCCAACGCGUUAAGUGUUCCGCCUGGGGAGUACGCACGCAAGUGUGAAACUCAAAGGAAUUGACGGGGGCCCGCACAAGCGGUGGAGUAUGUGGUUUAAUUCGAUGCAACGCGAAGAACCUUACCAGGGUUUGACAUCCUGCGAAUCUCUUGGAAACAG
rnacentral:rRNA from 1 species